AUCACACUCCCUCCGUCCGAAAAAGCUUGUCCCAAGCUUGUCCUUCAAAUGGAUGUAUCUAGCACUAACUUGGUGCUAGAUACAUCCAUUUGAGGGACGAACUUUUUCGGACGGAGGGAGUACUAC
rfam:Triticum aestivum genome assembly, contig: Triticum_aestivum_CS42_TGACv1_scaffold_132695_2BL